GAUGAACGCUGGCGGCGUGCCUAAUACAUGCAAGUCGGGCGAACGGACGAGAAGCUUGCUUCUCUGAUGUUAGCGGCGGACGGGUGAGUAACACGUGGAUAACCUACCUAUAAGACUGGGAUAACUUCGGGAAACCGGAGCUAAUACCGGAUAAUCUUUUGAACCGCAUGGUUCAAAAGUGAAAGACGGUCUUGCUGUCACUUAUCGAUGGAUCCGCGCUGCAUUAGCUAGUUGGUAAGGUAACGGCUUACCAAGGCAACGAUGCAUAGCCGACCUGAGAGGGUGAUCGGACACACUGGAACUGAGACACGGUCAAGACUCCUACGGGAGGCAGCAGUAGGGAAUCUUCCGCAAUGGGCGAAAGCCUGACGGAGCAACGCCGCGUGAGUGAUGAAGGUCUUCGGAUCGUAAAACUCUGUUAUUAGGGAAGAACAUAUGUGUAAGUAACUGUGCACAUCUUGACGGUACCUAAUCAGAAAGCCACGGCUAACUACGUG
rnacentral:rRNA from 1 species